rnacentral:rRNA from 1 species
GACGAACGCUGGCGGCGUGCCUAAUACAUGCAAGUUGAGCGAUGAAGCUUGGUGCUUGCACCAACUUGAAGAGCAGCGAACGGGUGAGUAACGCGUGGGGAAUCUGCCUUUGAGCGGGGGACAACAUUUGGAAACGAAUGCUAAUACCGCAUAAUAACUUUAAACAUAAGUUUUAAGUUUGAAAGAUGCAAUUGCAUCACUCAAAGAUGAUCCCGCGUUGUAUUAGCUAGUUGGUGAGGUAAAGGCUCACCAAGGCGAUGAUACAUAGCCGACCUGAGAGGGUGAUCGGCCACAUUGGGACUGAGACACGGCCCAAACUCCUACGGGAGGCAGCAGUAGGGAAUCUUCGGCAAUGGACGAAAGUCUGACCGAGCAACGCCGCGUGAGUGAAGAAGGUUUUCGGAUCGUAAAACUCUGUUGGUAGAGAAGAACGUUGGUGAGAGUGGAAAGCUCAUCAAGUGACGGUAACUACCCAGAAAGGGACGGCUAACUACGUG